rnacentral:rRNA from 1 species
GGCCGCGGGAAUUCGAUUCAGGCCUAACACAUGCAAGUCGAACGGUAGCACAGAGAGCUUGCUCUUGGGUGACGAGUGGCGGACGGGUGAGUAAUGUCUGGGAAACUGCCCGAUGGAGGGGGAUAACUACUGGAAACGGUAGCUAAUACCGCAUAACGUCGCAAGACCAAAGUGGGGGACCUUCGGGCCUCACACCAUCGGAUGUGCCCAGAUGGGAUUAGCUAGUUGGUGAGGUAAUGGCUCACCAAGGCGACGAUCCCCAGCUGGUCUGAGAGGAUGACCAGCCACACUGGAACUGAGACACGGUCCAGACUCCUACGGGAGGCAGCAGUGGGGAAUAUUGCACAAUGGGCGCAAGCCUGAUGCAGCAAGGCCGCGUGUAUGAAGAAGGCCUUCGGGUUGUAAAGUAAUUGAGCGAGGAGGAAGGCAUUAAGGUUAAUAACCUUAGUGAUUGACGUACUCGCAGA